rnacentral:rRNA from 1 species
UACGUAGGGUGCGAGCGUUAAUCGGAAUUACUGGGCGUAAAGCGUGCGCAGGCGGCUUGCUAAGACAGGUGUGAAAGCCCCGAGCUUAACUUGGGAAUGGCGCUUGUGACUGGCAGGCUGGAGUGUGGCAGAGGGAGGUGGAAUUCCACGUGUAGCAGUGAAAUGCGUAGAGAUGUGGAGGAACACCGAUGGCGAAGGCAGCCUCCUGGGCCAACACUGACGCUCAUGCACGAAAGCGUGGGGAGCAAACAGG